GCCUCCGUAGUUCAACGGACAGAAUACAGGUUUCCGGAACCUGGGAUGUAGGUUCGACUCCUAUCGGAGGCA
rnacentral:tRNA from 1 species